rnacentral:lncRNA from 1 species
CACUCAAUAGUGUAAUAUCCUCCUUUUUGUGGAGAGGAAAGGGAAAUCUGAUCGCUCACAGAGUGCUAAUUGCUAACAAAAGGGAGGGGGGUUUAGGGCAGAUUGAUAUUGGAGCCAAAAAAGAUGCGCUCAGGGCAAAAUUAAUUAGUAAAUUUCUAGAUCCAAACAGGCACUAUCCCUGGGAGGACGCGCUGGCAAGCCAAUUGUCCAACUUCGGGCUGAGGGACGUACGCAAUCUGUGUAUACUUCACCCGGAGAAGGUAGUUGGUGAGCUUAAGCCGUUCUACCGGGAGAUUGUUGAGGCAUGGGGCAAAUUGCUGCCCCACCUCAUGCCGAUAUGCAGGAAUAAAGAGGAUGUGUUUCGAUUACCCUUCCUUAAAAACCCUUGUUUUUUGCAUAAGGGGAAAACAAUAACGAGUUCACACCUGAUGGAGGCUGGUCUGUUGUGGAUCAGAGAUAUAAUGGAAUGAUGACUUUAGCGUCAAACUUGAUUUUAUUUUUGGUGUGCUAAAAAACAAAAAUAUUAAUUUCAGAAAAUGCAGCAUAAGGUCAAUUACGGAAAAAAUAAAAAAUACAGUAAUUCUGUUUUGGGAAAGAAUAAUGCAGACAAAAGACAUCUCGAUGCAGAACGAUGACUUGAAUUUCCUCCUGUGCCAAAACAAUAACCCGGUCCCAGUGCAAGAGAUUAAAACAAAAGCAUGGUACAAACUCCUCAUAGCCGAAAUCAAAAGAACUCCAACUACCGAAAAGAUCUGGGCUCAAAUCUUUCCGGGUUUUAACACCAAAUCAAUAUGGACCAGUGGGGGAGGUCUCUUCACUCCCCCAACGCUACAACAUCUAGAUUUCAAAAUUAAGCACAGGAGGAUUUUCACAGGCAUCGUUCUGCAUCAAAUCAACAAGGGAAAAUACGAAAGAAAAUGUAAAAAAUGCAAUGAACAGGAUGAAGAUUUGGAGCACCUCUUCUUGGAUUGUAGUCUUGUAAGAGCCUUCUACUCCACAAUACGGCGGACAAUACAGAGCGCCUGCAAUUUCCACUGUGGAAGUGACACGGAAUGGACUUUGCUUUUUUUAUUCGGACUAAAAAAGAAUUCUGCACAUCAGCAUACUCACAUCAUCAACACCAUCCUCAGCUACACAAGAUUUUCAGUCUGGACUGUCAGGAACUAUGCUUUAUACGAAAACCGGACUCUGUCACUGCUUCCUUUUUUCAAAACCCUAUUUCUGAACCAUCUGAAAAACUGCUUCUUCGCCAUCCCGGACACUUUCAAUCAGCUUUUGAACACUGGACACACUCUUUUUACAGUACAUCAAAACAAUAUCACACUUAAUUUAUGAAGCUCUUUUAUUUUAAUUUGCAGAUUGUUUGGGUUCAUAUAAUUUAUGUUGUUUUUUUUUCCAAAGGUUUUUUCUAUUCUGUUGUUUAUUUUUUUUUUAUUGUGGACUGUGACUGUGAUUUGUAAAGAUGGAAUUUUGUGAAUAUAUUUUUGAUAAUAAAAGAUAAAAAAAAAAAAAAACACGCCCGAUCUCGUCCGAUCUCGGAAGCUAAGCAGGGUCGGGCCUGGUUAGUACUUGGAUGGGAGACCGCCUGGGAAUACCAGGUGCUGUAAGCUUUUCUCUUCUUUUCUUGCAUCUUUUUGCCGUGUUCUCUCUCCAAGAGGCUAGGAUAUCGGUCUUUGGGGAGCCUGGUCUUUUGCUUGGACAAAUGCAAGUGCACUUGGAGAUUAGGCUGAACAUAAAAUGAAAGAAAAAGUCAAAAAGCACAAAGAGCGGGAGGACUGAGAUCUUGUCCUAAAGUGGAGCAAAGGAGUGGAGCAUGAUGGACUGCAGAGAUAGGCUGUAAAACUAAGCUUGACUGCGUAUCCGGGUGUUUUCUUGAGCGCCGCAUUGUUCACUGAAAGUGAAAUGCUGAUUCUAAUUGAGAGAAGCACACAGGAGCAUGUUCAAAUAGCUCAUUUGGAGCCUGUGUCAUCGCUUACGGCCAUACCACCCUGAACACGCCCGAUCUCGUCCGAUCUCGGAAGCUAAGCAGGGUCGGGCCUGGUUAGUACUUGGAUGGGAGACCGCCUGGGAAUACCAGGUGCUGUAAGCUUUUCUCUUCUUUUCUUGCAUCUUUUUGCCGUGUUCUCUCUCCAAGAGGCUAGGAUAUCGGUCUUUGGGGAGCCUGGUCUUUUGCUUGGACAAAUGCAAGUGCACUUGGAGAUUAGGCUGAACAUAAAAUGAAAGAAAAAGUCAAAAAGCACAAAGAGCGGGAGGACUGAGAUCUUGUCCUAAAGUGGAGCAAAGGAGUGGAGCAUGAUGGACUGCAGAGAUAGGCUGUAAAACUAAGCUUGACUGCGUAUCCGGGUGUUUUCUUGAGCGCCGCAUUGUUCACUGAAAGUGAAAUGCUGAUUCUAAUUGAGAGAAGCACACAGGAGCAUGUUCAAAUAGCUCAUUUGGAGCCUGUGUCAUCGCUUACGGCCAUACCACCCUGAACACGCCCGAUCUCGUCCGAUCUCGGAAGCUAAGCAGGGUCGUGCCUGGUUAGUACUUGGAUGGGAGACCGCCUGGGAAUACCAGGUGCUGUAAGCUUUUCUCUUCUUUUCUUGCAUCUUUUUGCCGUGUUCUCUCUCCAAGAGGCUAGGAUAUCGGUCUUUGGGGAGCCUGGUCUUUUGCUUGGACAAAUGCAAGUGCACUUGGAGAUUAGGCUGAACAUAAAAUGAAAGAAAAAGUCAAAAAGCACAAAGAGCGGGAGGACUGAGAUCUUGUCCUAAAGUGGAGCAAAGGAGUGGAGCAUGAUGGACUGCAGAGAUAGGCUGUAAAACUAAGCUUGACUGCGUAUCCGGGUGUUUUCUUGAGCGCCGCAUUGUUCACUGAAAGUGAAAUGCUGAUUCUAAUUGAGAGAAGCACACAGGAGCAUGUUCAAAUAGCUCAUUUGGAGCCUGUGUCAUCGCUUACGGCCAUACCACCCUGAACACGCCCGAUCUCGUCCGAUCUCGGAAGCUAAGCAGGGUCGGGCCUGGUUAGUACUUGGAUGGGAGACCGCCUGGGAAUACCAGGUGCUGUAAGCUUUUCUCUUCUUUUCUUGCAUCUUUUUGCCGUGUUCUCUCUCCAAGAGGCUAGGAUAUCGGUCUUUGGGGAGCAUGGUCUUUUGCUUGGACAAAUGCAAGUGCACUUGGAGAUUAGGCUGAACAUAAAAUGAAAGAAAAAGUCAAAAAGCACAAAGAGCGGGAGGACUGAGAUCUUGUCCUAAAGUGGAGCAAAGGAGUGGAGCAUGAUGGACUGCAGAGAUAGGCUGUAAAACUAAGCUUGACUGCGUAUCCGGGUGUUUUCUUGAGCGCCGCAUUGUUCACUGAAAGUGAAAUGCUGAUUCUAAUUGAGAGAAGCACACAGGAGCAUGUUCAAAUAGCUCAUUUGGAGCCUGUGUCAUCGCUUACGGCCAUACCACCCUGAACACGCCCGAUCUCGUCCGAUCUCGGAAGCUAAGCAGGGUCGGGCCUGGUUAGUACUUGGAUGGGAGACCGCCUGGGAAUACCAGGUGCUGUAAGCUUUUCUCUUCUUUUCUUGCAUCUUUUUGCCGUGUUCUCUCUCCAAGAGGCUAGGAUAUCGGUCUUUGGGGAGCAUGGUCUUUUGCUUGGACAAAUGCAAGUGCACUUGGAGAUUAGGCUGAACAUAAAAUGAAAGAAAAAGUCAAAAAGCACAAAGAGCGGGAGGACUGAGAUCUUGUCCUAAAGUGGAGCAAAGGAGUGGAGCAUGAGAGACUGCAGAGAUAGGCUGUAAAACUAAGCUUGACUGCGUAUCCGGGUGUUUUCUUGAGCGCCGCAUUGUUCACUGAAAGUGAAAUGCUGAUUCUAAUUGAGAGAAGCACACAGGAGCAUGUUCAAAUAGCUCAUUUGGAGCCUGUGUCAUCGCUUACGGCCAUACCACCCUGAACACGCCCGAUCUCGUCCGAUCUCGGAAGCUAAGCAGGGUCGGGCCUGGUUAGUACUUGGAUGGGAGACCGCCUGGGAAUACCAGGUGCUGUAAGCUUUUCUCUUCUUUUCUUGCAUCUUUUUGCCGUGUUCUCUCUCCAAGAGGCUAGGAUAUCGGUCUUUGGGGAGCCUGGUCUUUUGCUUGGACAAAUGCAAGUGCACUUGGAGAUUAGGCUGAACAUAAAAUGAAAGAAAAAGUCAAAAAGCACAAAGAGCGGGAGGACUGAGAUCUUGUCCUAAAGUGGAGCAAAGGAGUGGAGCAUGAGAGACUGCAGAGAUAGGCUGUAAAACUAAGCUUGACUGCGUAUCCGGGUGUUUUCUUGAGCGCCGCAUUGUUCACUGAAAGUGAAAUGCUGAUUCUAAUUGAGAGAAGCACACAGGAGCAUGUUCAAAUAGCUCAUUUGGAGCCUGUGUCGUCGCUUACGGCCAUACCACCCUGAACACGCCCGAUCUCGUCCGAUCUCGGAAGCUAAGCAGGGUCGGGCCUGGUUAGUACUUGGAUGGGAGACCGCCUGGGAAUACCAGGUGCUGUAAGCUUUUCUCUUCUUUUCUUGCAUCUUUUUGCCGUGUUCUCUCUCCAAGAGGCUAGGAUAUCGGUCUUUGGGGAGCCUGGUCUUUUGCUUGGACAAAUGCAAGUGCACUUGGAGAUUAGGCUGAACAUAAAAUGAAAGAAAAAGUCAAAAAGCACAAAGAGCGGGAGGACUGAGAUCUUGUCCUAAAGUGGAGCAAAGGAGUGGAGCAUGAUGGACUGCAGAGAUAGGCUGUAAAACUAAGCUUGACUGCGUAUCCGGGUGUUUUCUUGAGCGCCGCAUUGUUCACUGAAAGUGAAAUGCUGAUUCUAAUUGAGAGAAGCACACAGGAGCAUGUUCAAAUAGCUCAUUUGGAGCCUGUGUCAUCGCUUACGGCCAUACCACCCUGAACACGCCCGAUCUCGUCCGAUCUCGGAAGCUAAGCAGGGUCGUGCCUGGUUAGUACUUGGAUGGGAGACCGCCUGGGAAUACCAGGUGCUGUAAGCUUUUCUCUUCUUUUCUUGCAUCUUUUUGCCGUGUUCUCUCUCCAAGAGGCUAGGAUAUCGGUCUUUGGGGAGCCUGGUCUUUUGCUUGGACAAAUGCAAGUGCACUUGGAGAUUAGGCUGAACAUAAAAUGAAAGAAAAAGUCAAAAAGCACAAAGAGCGGGAGGACUGAGAUCUUGUCCUAAAGUGGAGCAAAGGAGUGGAGCAUGAUGGACUGCAGAGAUAGGCUGUAAAACUAAGCUUGACUGCGUAUCCGGGUGUUUUCUUGAGCGCCGCAUUGUUCACUGAAAGUGAAAUGCUGAUUCUAAUUGAGAGAAGCACACAGGAGCAUGUUCAAAUAGCUCAUUUGGAGCCUGUGUCAUCGCUUACGGCCAUACCACCCUGAACACGCCCGAUCUCGUCCGAUCUCGGAAGCUAAGCAGGGUCGGGCCUGGUUAGUACUUGGAUGGGAGACCGCCUGGGAAUACCAGGUGCUGUAAGCUUUUCUCUUCUUUUCUUGCAUCUUUUUGCCGUGUUCUCUCUCCAAGAGGCUAGGAUAUCGGCCUUUGGGGAGCCUGGUCUUUUGCUUGGACAAAUGCAAGUGCACUUGGAGAUUAGGCUGAACAUAAAAUGAAAGAAAAAGUCAAAAAGCACAAAGAGCGGGAGGACUGAGAUCUUGUCCUAAAGUGGAGCAAAGGAGUGGAGCAUGAUGGACUGCAGAGAUAGGCUGUAAAACUAAGCUUGACUGCGUAUCCGGGUGUUUUCUUGAGCGCCGCAUUGUUCACUGAAAGUGAAAUGCUGAUUCUAAUUGAGAGAAGCACACAGGAGCAUGUUCAAAUAGCUCAUUUGGAGCCUGUGUCAUCGCUUACGGCCAUACCACCCUGAACACGCCCGAUCUCGUCCGAUCUCGGAAGCUAAGCAGGGUCGGGCCUGGUUAGUACUUGGAUGGGAGACCGCCUGGGAAUACCAGGUGCUGUAAGCUUUUCUCUUCUUUUCUUGCAUCUUUUUGCCGUGUUCUCUCUCCAAGAGGCUAGGAUAUCGGUCUUUGGGGAGCCUGGUCUUUUGCUUGGACAAAUGCAAGUGCACUUGGAGAUUAGGCUGAACAUAAAAUGAAAGAAAAAGUCAAAAAGCACAAAGAGCGGGAGGACUGAGAUCUUGUCCUAAAGUGGAGCAAAGGAGUGGAGCAUGAUGGACUGCAGAGAUAGGCUGUAAAACUAAGCUUGACUGCGUAUCCGGGUGUUUUCUUGAGCGCCGCAUUGUUCACUGAAAGUGAAAUGCUGAUUCUAAUUGAGAGAAGCACACAGGAGCAUGUUCAAAUAGCUCAUUUGGAGCCUGUGUCAUCGCUUACGGCCAUACCACCCUGAACACGCCCGAUCUCGUCCGAUCUCGGAAGCUAAGCAGGGUCGGGCCUGGUUAGUACUUGGAUGGGAGACCGCCUGGGAAUACCAGGUGCUGUAAGCUUUUCUCUUCUUUUCUUGCAUCUUUUUGCCGUGUUCUCUCUCCAAGAGGCUAGGAUAUCGGUCUUUGGGGAGCCUGGUCUUUUGCUUGGACAAAUGCAAGUGCACUUGGAGAUUAGGCUGAACAUAAAAUGAAAGAAAAAGUCAAAAAGCACAAAGAGCGGGAGGACUGAGAUCUUGUCCUAAAGUGGAGCAAAGGAGUGGAGCAUGAUGGACUGCAGAGAUAGGCUGUAAAACUAAGCUUGACUGCGUAUCCGGGUGUUUUCUUGAGCGCCGCAUUGUUCACUGAAAGUGAAAUGCUGAUUCUAAUUGAGAGAAGCACACAGGAGCAUGUUCAAAUAGCUCAUUUGGAGCCUGUGUCAUCGCUUACGGCCAUACCACCCUGAACACGCCCGAUCUCGUCCGAUCUCGGAAGCUAAGCAGGGUCGGGCCUGGUUAGUACUUGGAUGGGAGACCGCCUGGGAAUACCAGGUGCUGUAAGCUUUUCUCUUCUUUUCUUGCAUCUUUUUGCCGUGUUCUCUCUCCAAGAGGCUAGGAUAUCGGUCUUUGGGGAGCCUGGUCUUUUGCUUGGACAAAUGCAAGUACACUUGGAGAUUAGGCUGAACAUAAAAUGAAAGAAAAAGUCAAAAAGCACAAAGAGCGGGAGGACUGAGAUCUUGUCCUAAAGUGGAGCAAAGGAGUGGAGCAUGAUGGACUGCAGAGAUAGGCUGUAAAACUAAGCUUGACUGCGUAUCCGGGUGUUUUCUUGAGCGCCGCAUUGUUCACUGAAAGUGAAAUGCUGAUUCUAAUUGAGAGAAGCACACAGGAGCAUGUUCAAAUAGCUCAUUUGGAGCCUGUGUCAUCGCUUACGGCCAUACCACCCUGAACACGCCCGAUCUCGUCCGAUCUCGUAAGCUAAGCAGGCCCGGGCCUGGUUAGUACUUGGAUGGGAGACCGCCUGGGAAUACCAGGUGCUGUAAGCUUUUCUCUUCUUUUCUUGCAUCUUUUUGCCGUGUUCUCUCUCCAAGAGGCUAGGAUAUCGGUCUUUGGGGAGCCUGGUCUUUUGCUUGGACAAAUGCAAGUGCACUUGGAGAUUAGGCUGAACAUAAAAUGAAAGAAAAAGUC